AUAAAGCCAUUCUGUAAAAUUAAGUGUAAUUCUUUUUUUCCUUUCUUUUUUCAUCCUAGUAUCACAAACCAAGGACAUGCUUGGUAAGGUGUUUCUUCUGUUACAUAUACCUUUACAUCUGCAAUAGAUGCUAACUGCUGUAAUGGUGAAUCCACUGCUUUGUAAAUAUUACCUGCAGCAUUUAAUUUGCUUCAUAUAGCACAAGUUUGGCACUUUUAACUGAAACCAAGGAACAAAAAUCGUUCAGAGUUUGUUCUUAUAUUAGGUUUUAACUACAGUCGGCAUGGUAGCACAUAAUUUUGAAAACUAUACAGGCAAUUAUGGUCAUGAAUUGCACAAAUUUAGUUUUCACUUUGCAGACUAAGCAUAAAAGCUGCACCUGUUACUGUCUUAAUGUGCUUGCGAUAAUGGGAAGUGUUAAGCAAAGCUAAAGGCUUUUCUAACAGAAGCUACCAUGAGGACCCCAGACGCCUUAACAGUUAUUGUGAUUACGUCAACUUUUUUCCUGUAGUAAACUUGUAGCUACUUGCAGUGUUCAUUCCAUUGUUGAUGUACAGGUCUUGCUGCAUCACCCAGACCAAGCUGCGUGUGUUUGUAAACACUGAGUCUAAGAAAAUCAAUAGACAAGCAAGCAAUUGUUAUGCAUCUUAUUCUACAGACAUAACUGAAAACAGGCGGACACUUCAGCGAGUACUCGCCGAAAAACACUGUAAAGACAGUCAUUGGAACAAUCAUGCACAGUUUCAGUGGCCAGAAAUGCCUACAGGAGCAAUUUUAUAUUGUAAAUUUUUCCUUUAUUAACUGUCGUAAAGGAAAAACAACCUUGGGCUUUUGAGGACACUUGUAAUCUCACUGUGGCUGUUACACUUCAGUGAUGUGACGCACAAGUAUAUUUUGCAGUCAAGCCAGCUACUUCUGAAAUUUCGACCAAGCCUGGUGAUUUUACCGCCAAACGUGAACUUGUCGCAACUACAGCCGUCCCCAACAAGGAAUCUGCAGCCAGUACAGAUCGCACGGCUGUGAUAAACCCUGCUGACCGAGGACAUAUUGGAAACCCAAAUACAAGUGGUUCAUUGGUUUGCAUUCUGUCGGCUGCCCCAGAAGGAUUUCCAUAUGACUUGUGCACACACUUAAUCUUCAAGGACAUCUCCUACGACUCAAACAAGAACAUUAUCAAGGCUGUAAAAGCGACUGAGCUCCUGGCAUUCUUACGUGUGGCAAGAAAAUCAUCAGCCACCAUGGCCAUCUUGGUAAAUGCAGCAGAAAGUGGCCUUAUGGAGCCCUCACAUGCAAAUGUCAUUAAGAAAUUUGCACAUAACUUGAGCAUGUGGCUUCGUGAAAGAGCAGUACAGGGUGCAGCGCUAUUUUCAUCCCUUUAUGCUGACAUCAAAGCCUAUGAUUAUGUUGUGCUGACAGUUUGGCGCCAUUUUCAAGCUCGGGCUUCUUCGAGACUCAAGCUUAUAGCUGGAAUCUACUUUGAGCACUUCAAGUCUG